rnacentral:lncRNA from 1 species
CCCUUAAAUAAUACUGGGAGAUCAGAGUGGAUGUGCAGAGCUGAAGUACACUAAGAAAGGCAUUGAAAAUUUGGCAAAGAUGUUACAUCUUUUAGAAAGAUGUGGAUGGAUGCAGGAAAAAAUAUCGAGUAGCAAAACUUUUACAAUCCAAGGUUAGUUAUGAGGGAUUGGACACAGAGAUCAGUGUGGUGACAACAGGAAUGGAUGAUGGGAAUACCAUGCUCCUUUUAGAUUUCCAGAUGUGCAUUAGAACUGGUAUUUGAUGAAUAAGGGAAGAACAGAAGGUCUUUUAGAAGGAAAAUAUUUUCUUUCCUUUUGUAGGUAACACCCAAAGGGAUCAGUAUGCCUAUCCGUCGGUGUGUUGGUUCUUUCCUUCCGGUUGAGACAUUUUGUAGAAAAAAGAGAGAAAUUUACUGGAAAUCCCCAUCCCUUCACAAAUAGUUGUUGCUGUUUUUCCUGUAACCAAUAGGGAUAAAGACUGAAACCACAUCACUUAUCUCCAGCAGAUACAGCUGACCAGAAGGUCUUAUAUAAAGUCUUGGAGAAAAGUUGCAGGAGAACAGGAUGACUAAAUUAGGUGUUGAUAAGAAAGGCUGAAAACUUCCUUUGUGGAAUAAAUUAGGACAUGACAUAGGUGGUUAGCAAAUAAAGAAUAUUUGCAGAGUAAAGCAAAAUGUGCAGUGAGGAUUGGAGGAGCUGGGCAUUUAGACUGAUAGAGACAUAAUGCCUGGUUUUCCAUUCCUGUGCCUGGAUAGUAUUAAAAGCACAAAUAAAAAGCUAUCCUGCUGCUAUCUGCCUGCUAUUCAUAUUAUAGAAGAGAUGGAGACUGUCAGAGAGAUCUAUUAUGCCAACUCUGGUUGCCAUAGGUUUAUGCACAGACAAAUGAAGGGAAAAUAAAAUAGUGAGUUAUUGUUUAUUUUACACCAGGCACUGAAUUUUCUACCUUCACUUUGUUUCAUUUAAUUCUCAUCAUAACCCUGCAGUGGAUGUAUGUAUCAAACUGUGUUUUCAGUUAACUGCUACAUUCCCAACACAUUCAAUAAUGUCCAUCACUUAUAGUAUUUAAUAAAUAUUGAUUAUGACUGGGUGCAGUGGCUCACACCUGUAACCCCAACACUUUGGAAGGCUGAAGCAGGCAGAUCACAAGGUCAGGAGUUCGAGACCAGCCUGACCAAUAUGGUGAAACCCCGUCUCUACUAAAAAUACAAAAAUUAGCUGGGUGUGGUGGCGGGCACCUGUAGUCCCAGCUACUCAGGAGGCUGAGGCAGCAGAAUCCCUUGAACCCAGGAGGUGGAGGGUGCAGCGAGCUGAGAUUGCGCCACUGCACUCCAGCCUGGGUGACAGAGCAAGACUCUGUCUCAAAUAAAUACAAAUAAAUAAAUAAAUAAAUAUUUAUUUGUUUAUUACUGGGAUAUGAUUAGGAAACCAAAUGUGUUACAUUUUUAACAUUGUAUAGUGACAUAGAACACACAUAUAGUAAGACACGUAAAGAUUAAAUGUACAACUUAAUCAAUCAUUACAAUGCCAACAUCCAUGAACCCACCACCCAAAUCAAGAAACAGCAUGAGGCCAGCACCAGAAGCUCUCCCGUGCCUCCUCCUGUCCACAUUACUCUCCCUUCCCACCAAGACAACUCACCAUCAGACUUUCAUAGCAAUCCCUUCAUUGCUUCUCAAUACACCUUCAAAAUCUAAUAUUUAUUCCUAAACAUGCUUAGUAACAUUAUACAAAUUAAACUAUACAGUAUGUUCUCUUUUGUGCCUCUUUUGUGAUCUA